rnacentral:sRNA from 12 species
AUGAAGCUCUGCUGGCAGAUUUCCAUCCAUGGUUCUUAAAUAAGCAUGAAGAGAAGUGUGAAAGUGUGCUGUCACCUCUCACACUCCUCCACUUCCAACAGUUUGUUUGGGCUUUAGCUUUUGGCUUCUGUGAUCACCAUGGAGGUAUGCUCAAACAUUCUCUCUGAGUAGCAGAAGAAGCAGAUGAGCAUUCUCCAAAAGGAGCAGAGACUUUGGCUACAGCCUGGCAAGCCGGCAAGUCACAAAAAGGCAAUGGACUCCAUUAGGGGUUCGA